GUUAAAAUUUCAUUGUUUUCUGUUCAUGGAGCCUAUACUUCAUAUGUGGAAGCAAUCAUUUGCCUCAACGCGAGCCCUGCCUAAUAGAAAAGUCAGAUGAUCAAUCACUCAUCCAUCGUAAAUAAAUAAAUACAACAACAACAACCCAGUAUAAUCCCACUUAGUGGGGUCUGGGGAGGGUAGUGUGUACGCAGACCUUACUCCUACCCUUGGGUAGAGAGGCUGUUUCCAAAAUAGACCCCGUAAAUAAAUAAAUAAGGCAAACAAUAAAGAAGCCCUCUAUUGUCAGAAGUUAACAUUUUUGUUUAGGAAGUGAUUAGUAUGAUUUAGCUGCUCCUACAAGUGGAUCAAAGCAAAGCCCUGAAAUAUUUGAUAGUUGCGCAAGAAUAAGUAAACUGUGACAGCCUAAGCCAGCAGUUACACCUCCGAGAAUAGCACUAAAUUUUCAUUGGUUAUGUUCGAGGACUGUCACAUCACCAAAACACUUAGUAGGAGUAGCAGCACUAACUGAAUUUAAAAAAAAAAAAAAAGUGUCUCCUAAAGAACUGAAACCUUGUUACAAAACCUGCAGAGCAAAGAGAAGGGAUGGGAAAGCUAAAUUCACUAGCUAUAAGGAAGUGAACACAAGUUUGAUGCUAAGCUUAACCAUUUUCAGCAGCACAAUAGCCGAUGGUGAUUUCAACUUAAGGUUAUACAUCGACACCUAGAAAAUCCAAGAAUCUACCCCUCCCCCUGAAUUCAAAGGGAAAAACCACAGCUAGCAUAUAACAGUUUUUGACAGACAAGAAGAGCACCUUUCUGCAAGUUAGAAAAGUACUUUAGACAAGUACUAUUUUAUUUAUUUUUUAGUUCCUCGGUCAGUACUAAGGGAUUCAUAAAUUUGUAAGAUGAAGGAAAAUGUAGCUGCUUCAUAACUUCCCUACACACGUAUUAUGAGUUCCCUACGAGUAGUAGACUAUCGCCAUCUCAAGAAACCAUAUCAUACUACUUUUUUUUCAUCAAAUAAUACUUGCUACUCAGUGAGUAAGAUUACGAGCUGAGGAAAAGUACAGGAACCAACCAGAAAAGCAAAAUCAAGCCAGAAGUUCCAUGCAAUCUAAUCUAUCAUUAUAGUCUAUGUAUGAAGGAGCCUCUGGAUCUAUGGAACAAAAGGACUUUACAAAGUUGAAGCAGCAUAAACAAGGUUGUAAUGGUGCUAUCUAUUUUUUGUAUCUGUUCCAUCUUAUAGAUUAUCACUAGAUAUUUAAUGACAUUUGUAUUUUGAUAAAGAUAACAGAUAAAGAUAGCAAAAAGGAGGUUCACUUGUCCUUACAUAUGCUGACAAAUAACGGAUGACCCUGAUUGCAUCUAACACAAAAUGCAGAAAAUACUUAUAUUACCACUAGUGUUUCUGAGUCAAGAUUGUUUGACUUAACCAGCUUUCUAGUAUAGAAGAUUUAAAAACAAAAAAAACCUUAAAAGUCAGUUAGACGGUUUCUCACGUAAAGGCAGAAUUGUCCUGAUGAAUAGCAGCACUUCGGUUAAUGUACUCGAUUGCAUCGUGGUUCCUUAAGCCUUAUAUCUGGAAGGGGUCUCAGAUCUCAGUGAUGGUCCAGACAAUAAAUAAACAACUGUAAGUAUUUUACAGAUUUUUUUAUAAUAAACUCUUUCGCCUAUGUCACGUUGUUUAUUAUUCCUCAUUGUUUGAUGU
rnacentral:lncRNA from 1 species